rnacentral:rRNA from 1 species
GACGAACGCUGGCGGCAUGCCUAACACAUGCAAGUCGAACGAGAACUUCGGGUCUUGGGGCGCACGGGUGCGUAACGCGUGGGGACAUGAACUUGGGGUCGACAUACCUCCCCGACAGGGAUAAUAAUGCGGGACAAUGUCUUCUAACGCAAGAUAUAUCGAACUUGGAGGUGCACGAGUGGGAUUCGCUAGUGCGUAGGGUAAAAGCCUACCACGGCGACGAUCCAUAGCUGGUCUGUGAGGCGGGUCACCAACCCCUGGACUGGGACACGGCCGAGACUCCUACGGGAGGCAGCAGUGCGGAAUAGUGGACCACGGGCGAAGGCCUGAUCCAGUACUGCCGCGUGAGUGAUGUAGUCCGUAGGGUUGUAAAGCGCUUUUACCCGGGCAGAUAAUGACGGUACCGGGAGAAUAAGCGACGGCUAACUCCGUG